rnacentral:rRNA from 1 species
UAGGGAAUCUUCCACAAUGGACGCAAGUCUGAUGGAGCAACGCCGCGUGAGUGAAGAAGGGUUUCGGCUCGUAAAGCUCUGUUGUUAAAGAAGAACGUGGGUAAGAGUAACUGUUUACCCAGUGACGGUAUUAACCAGAAAGCCACGGCUAACUACGUGCCAG